UACGUAGGGGGCGAGCGUUAUCCGGAUUCACUGGGUGUAAAGGGAGCGUAGACGGCCAUGCAAGCCAGGGGUGAAAGCCCGGGGCCCAACCCCGGGACUGCCCUUGGAACUGCAUGGCUGGAGUGCGGGAGGGGCAGACGGAAUUCCUGGUGUAGCGGUGAAAUGCGUAGAUAUCAGGAGGAACACCGGCGGCGAAGGCGGCCUGCUGGACUGCGACUGACGUUGAGGCUCGAAAGCGUGGGGAGCGAACAGG
rnacentral:rRNA from 1 species